UGAAAUUUUAUCGCGGCGGUUUUCUUUGAGUUCGCCGCCGUCCGUUUGUCCCACCGUUCCGAAACCCUUGAGCUAAGACCCCGUCUUUUAGAUCUCAAGAUGUUAAUCACGAGAAAGGAGAGUUUGGAGUAGAACAAUCGACCGGAAGGAUAAGGAAGCGGCCGCAUUGACGGCGGAUUCGGCGCGAGAAGAGCCAUUCGAAACUACCAAACGCUGCAGCAUCUCCGAGAAACAAUUGCGUAGUCUUCUCUCUUCGGUCUUCUCCGGUUGUCUCGCGUCUGUAUCAGCUCUCGCUCUUGCAGGACGGACCAGGGGAGGAUUUACGUCGAGGCACGGUAGGGGUGCCCCAAAUAGUUAUUUUUACCAAAAUUUCGAGUUCGUAGUUCCCAUUCCUCACCUCAGGUCGCUGCCUAACGGUGAUUGAUCCUCGAUUCCGGCGGAUCAACUGCACUUGAUCGGCUCCUCUUCUGUGGGCUGCGGCCGGGAAUUAAUUCGUGCCCUGCCAAGGAGAGAAUGCUAGUUCCGCCAACUGAGGGAGGCGAUCCUGCCCAUUCCAGGACACAACUGUCCAUUGUAAACCUAGAUAGGAGGCUCUAAUUUCUUUUUUGCAAGAGUUCUUGAGUCAUUUCUUCCCUGCGUCAAUAUCAUUCCUGUUCAUUUCCAACAUGACAGAGUAUUGGGUCAGUCAAGGAAACAAGUGGUGUGAUUUCUGCAAGAUAUAUAUCUCCAACAAUCCUCUGAGCAUAAGAACCCAUGAGCUUGGUCAGCGUCACAAGGACAAUGCCACAAAGAAGCUUGCUACUGUGAGAAAGGAGAGUGCUGCAAAGGAGAAGCAACUAAAAGCAGCUGCACGAGCUCUUAAGGAUAUUGAAGCAAAAGCAAAACAAAGUUAUCAGAAGGAUUUGGCUUCUUUGGGUAGAACUGGCCCUUCCACUGGACUGGAGCCUAACGAGAAAAAUACAGAUAAGUCUCAAUGUUCAUCUGUAACUAAAAGCGGUAACUUCUUAAUCUUUUUUUUUUUACUUUCUUACUCGUGAACCUAGUAUAUUAUUUUCCAGUAUGCUAUCGCUUUGGGAGGUAGAUUUGCAUCUCUCCAACAAUCAUUUGGAUUCAUCACUCAUGCAUUUUCAUGGGCAAUCGUUGGUUUCCUCCACAUCUGACUCUUCUGGGAUACGGGAUUGCAUCCAAUUCCAAAGGUGGUCCAUCCCCAGGGAGGGUCGUUUCCACACUUCUGAACCCCACAAGAGCAGUUAAAGGUGCAGCAUCUUCCAUCGCUGUUAAUAAAAGAAAGAAGGAUGAUGGAAAAGCAAAGGUGAUAACCAAGGAGGAAGCAGAGGCUCUGAAAACAAGGGAGGCUGCAAGGAAAAGAAUGGAAGAGAGGGAGAAGCCAUUCAUGGGCCUCUACAAGUCAUACUAGUUUUGCAAAUGUGUGCAUGCGAUGGGAAUCUUAGUUUCGGCUCAUUUGGCAUGAAAGUAACAACUACAAAUCCAUCCAACAGAUAUCAUCGUCGCCUUCAGUUGGAUGCGUUGGAGCUGUUCUUCUGUCGGUGAGCUGCGGAAGAUGAACAACACCCAUUCUACACUUGUUCACAUUGCUGCAACCCAAACCGGCUGCUGCUUGUUGGGUCACUCUUGUUCUUUAAUAUAAUGGCAACCACCGCAUGCGAGAAGAGGCUGGCUUGUCACCGACCAGAGGACUUGGCGAUCGAAAAUUCAGAUUUCUCUCAAUUGUUCAUCAUUCAACUUUGAAUAUACCUUCAAGUUCAACAUGCCAACUUCGACCACUAUCAAUCUACCAUCCGUGCAAUAAAUGGUUUGCCCUGUAUUUAGUUUUUUAUUUUAUUUUAAUUCCUGUGUUGAUGUUUAGUGAUUGAGUGGAGCAAAAUGUCAUAAUUUAUUCACUAGUUCGAUCU